UACGGGGGGGGUAAGCGUUGUUCGGAAUUACUGGGCGUAAAGGCUCGUAGGCGGCCAACUAAGUCAUACGUGAAAUCCCUCAGCUUAACUGGGGAACUGCGUGUGAUACUGGAUGGCUUGGAUUUGGGAGAGGGAUGCGGAAUUCCAGGUGUAGCGGUGAAAUGCGUAGAUAUCUGGAGGAACACCGGUGGCGAAGGCGGCAUCCUGGACCAAUAUGACGCUGAGGAGCGAAGCUAGGGGAGCAAACGGG
rnacentral:rRNA from 1 species